ACGCGAAGAACCUUACCUACCCUUGACAUGGUCGGAACCCUGCUGAAAGGUGGGGGUGCUCGAAAGAGAACCGGCGCACAGGUGCUGCAUGGCUGUCGUCAGCUCGUGUCGUGAGAUGUUGGGUUAAGUCCCGCAACGAGCGCAACCCUUGUCCUUAGUUGCUACGCAAGAGCACUCUAGGGAGACUGCCGGUGACAAACCGAAGGAAGGUGGGGAUGACGUCAAGUCCUCAUGGCCCUUAUGGGUAGGGCUUCACACGUCAUACAAUGGUCGGAACAGAGGGUUGCCAAGCCGCGAGGCGGAGCCAAUCCCAGAAAACCGAUCGUAGUCCGGAUCGCAGUCUGCAACUCGACUGCGUGAAGCUGGAAUCGCUAGUAAUCGCGGAUCAGCAUGCCGCGGUGAAUACGUUCCC
rnacentral:rRNA from 1 species